rnacentral:rRNA from 1 species
UACGUAGGUGACCAGCGUUGUCCGGAUUUACUGGGCGUAAAGAGCGCGCAGGCGGUCGUUCAAGUCGGGUGUGAAAGCCCCCGGCUCAACUGGGGAGGGUCAUUCGAUACUGAUCGACUUGAAGGCAGGAGAGGGAAGCGGAAUUCCCGGUGUAGUGGUGAAAUGCGUAGAUAUCGGGAGGAACACCAGUGGCGAAGGCGGCUUCCUGGCCUGUUCUUGACGCUGAGGCGCGAAAGCUAGGGGAGCAAACGGG